GACGAACGCUGGCGGCGUGCCUAAUACAUGCAAGUUGAGCGCUGAAGGUUGGUACUUGUACCAACUGGAUGAGCAGCGAACGGGUGAGUAACGCGUGGGGAAUCUGCCUUUGAGCGGGGGACAACAUUUGGAAACGAAUGCUAAUACCGCAUAAAAACUUUAAACACAAGUUUUAAGUUUGAAAGAUGCAAUUGCAUCACUCAAAGAUGAUCCCGCGUUGUAUUAGCUAGUUGGUGAGGUAAAGGCUCACCAAAGCGAUGAUACAUAGCCGACCUGAGAGGGUGAUCGGCCACAUUGGGACUGAGACACGGCCCAAACUCCUACGGGAGACAGCAGUAGGGAAUCUUCGGCAAUGGACGAAAGUCUGACCGAGCAACGCCGCGUGAGUGAAGAAGGUUUUCGGAUCGUAAAACUCGGUUGGUAGAGAAGAACGUUGGUGAGAGUGGAAAGCUCAUCAAGUGACGGUAACUACCCAGAAAGGGACGGCUAACUACGUG
rnacentral:rRNA from 1 species